GCGGGAAUAGCUCAGUUGGCAGAGCGUUGGCUUCCCAAGCCGAAGGUCGCGGGUUCGAGCCCCGUUUCCCGCU
rnacentral:tRNA from 1 species